AAACAUUGUGAAUGUCACUGCUUCUAUAUCUGGCUUAAAGGCUUUGUGGUUUGAAAUGUCUUUCUUCCUAGGGUGUGAUUUGGGUUGAAGAUCACUUUCAGGCAAAAGUACACUCUACAGUGUGAGAAGGAGCACAGCACUGGACCUUGAAAGAGCCUUAUCAGGUUGAAUAUGGGGAACUGCAGCUCAUGGUAACUUGCUGUGACGCGACCAUAUUGUCUGUGAUAUCCGCGAUCCCUAGUUGCUUCAAUGGGAGACAAAUCCAGCAAGCCAAGCUCAGCUGUAUGAAUCACUGUGUACAGAUAUCAGUGUCAGGAUAUUUUCUUAAUAAAUCCUUAUUG